CAAGUCGAACGGGAAUCUUCGGAUUCUAGUGGCGGACGGGUGAGUAACGCGUAAGAAUCUAACUUCAGGACGGGGACAACAGUUGGAAACGACUGCUAAUACCCGAUGUGCCGCAAGGUGAAACCUAAUUGGCCUGGAGAAGAGCUUGCGUCUGAUUAGCUAGUUGGUGGGGUAAAGGCCUACCAAGGCGACGAUCAGUAGCUGGUCUGAGAGGAUGAGCAGCCACACUGGGACUGAGACACGGCCCAGACUCCUACGGGAGGCAGCAGUGGGGAAUUUUCCGCAAUGGGCGAAAGCCUGACGGAGCAACGCCGCGUGAGGGAGGAAGGUCUUUGGAUUGUAAACCUCUUUUCUCAAGGAAGAAGUUCUGACGGUACUUGAGGAAUCAGCCUCGGCUAACUCCGUGCCAGCAGCCGCGGUAAUACGGGGGAGGCAAGCGUUAUCCGGAAUUAUUGGGCGUAAAGCGUCCGCAGGUGGUCAGCCAAGUCUGCCGUCAAAUCAGGUUGCUUAACGACCUAAAGGCGGUGGAAACUGGCAGACUAGAGAGCAGUAGGGGUAGCAGGAAUUCCCAGUGUAGCGGUGAAAUGCGUAGAGAUUGGGAAGAACAUCGGUGGCGAAAGCGUGCUACUGGGCUGUAUCUGACACUCAGGGACGAAAGCUAGGGGAGCGAAAGGGAUUAGAUACCCCUGUAGUCCUAGCCGUAAACGAUGGAUACUAGGCGUGGCUUGUAUCGACCCGAGUCGUGCCGAAGCUAACGCGUUAAGUAUCCCGCCUGGGGAGUACGCACGCAAGUGUGAAACUCAAAGGAUUGACGG
rnacentral:rRNA from 1 species